rnacentral:rRNA from 1 species
GAUGAACGCUAGCGGCAGGCCUAAUACAUGCAAGACGAACGGUAAGUUGAGUAGCAAUACUUAGCCAAGAGUGUCGUACGGGUGCGUAACACGUAUGCAACCUACCCUAUACAGGAGGAUAGCCUAGGGAAACCUGGAUUAACCCUUCAUAGUAUUAUUGGAUGGCAUCAUUUGAUAAUUAAAACUGAGGUGGUAUAGGAUGGGCAUGCGUCUGAUUAGUUAGUUGGCGGGGUAAUGGCCCACCAAGACGAUGAUCAGUAGGGGUUCUGAGAGGAAGAUCCCCCACACUGGCACUGAGAUACGGGCCAGACUCCUACGGGAGGCAGCAGUAGGGAAUAUUGGUCAAUGGAUGCAAGUCUGAACCAGCCAUGCCGCGUGCAGGAAGAAGGCCUUCUGGGUUGUAAAACUGCUUUUAUACAAGAGAAAACCCUGGUACGUGUACCAGGUUGAUAGUAUUGUAAGAAUAAGCAUCGGCUAACUUCGUGCCAGCAGCCGCGGUAA